rnacentral:piRNA from 2 species
AUCGUAAGAGAACCUCAGCAUUGUG